CGCUGCAUCGGCCGCGGCGCGGGCUCGCCGUCCUCUUGGGUGGGCAUCGAACGCUGAGCCGGGCGGGCGCCGGCGGUGCCCUCGUCGAGCGGCGG
rnacentral:tRNA from 1 species